rnacentral:rRNA from 1 species
ACUCCUACGGGAGGCAGCAGUGGGGAAUAUUGCACAAUGGGGGAAACCCUGAUGCAGCCAUGCCGCGUGUGUGAAGAAGGCCUUCGGGUUGUAAAGCACUUUCAGUAGGGAGGAAGGUAGUGUAGUUAACACCUGCAUUAUUUGACGUUACCUACAGAAGAAGCACCGGCUAACUCCGUGCCAGCAGCCGCGGUAAUACGGAGGGUGCGAGCGUUAAUCGGAAUUACUGGGCGUAAAGCGCAUGCAGGCGGCCUGUUAAGUCAGAUGUGAAAGCCCGGGGCUUAACCUCGGAAUUGCAUUUGAAACUGGCAGACUAGAGUACUGUAGAGGGGGGUAGAAUUUCAGGUGUAGCGGUGAAAUGCGUAGAGAUCUGAAGGAAUACCGGUGGCGAAGGCGGCCCCCUGGACAGAUACUGACACUCAGAUGCGAAAGCGUGGGGAGCAAACAGGAUUAGAUACCCUGGUAGGAUAGCG